GCCCAGGUGCUGUAACUGGUAGCCAGGCACGCUUGAGGUGUGUGUGGAGUAAUCCGUGGAGGUUCAAGUCCUCUCCUGGGCACAA
rnacentral:tRNA from 1 species